AACGUAGGAGGCGAGCGUUAUCCGGAUUUACUGGGCGUAAAGCGCACGCAGGCGGCUCUGUAAGUUGGACGUGAAAGCUCCCGGCUUAACCGGGCGAGGUCGUUCGAUACUGCAGGGCUUGAGGUUGGGAGAGGGGUGCGGAAUUCCCGGUGUAGUGGUGGAAUGCGUAGAUAUCGGGAGGAACACCAGUGGCGCAAGCGGCGCCCUGGCCCACACCUGACGCUGAGGUGCGAAAGCGUGGGUAGCAAACAGGAUUAGAUACCCUGGUAGUCCACGCCGUAAACGAUGUCAACUGGGUGUCGGUAGUUUUACACUAUCGGUGCCGAAGCUAACGCGUUAAGUUGACCGCCUGGGGACUACGGCCGCAAGGCUAAA
rnacentral:rRNA from 1 species